rnacentral:rRNA from 1 species
GAGUUUGAUCAUGGCUCAGGAUGAACGCUGGCGGCGUGCCUAAUACAUGCAAGUCGAACGAACAGAUAAGGAGCUUGCUCCUUUGACGUUAGCGGCGGACGGGUGAGUAACACGUGGGUAACCUACCUAUAAGACUGGAAUAACUCCGGGAAACCGGGGCUAAUGCCGGAUAACAUGUUGAACCGCAUGGUUCUACAGUGAAAGACGGUCUUGCUGUCACUUAUAGAUGGACCCGCGCCGUAUUAGCUAGUUGGUGGGUAACGGCCUACCAAGGCGACGAUACGUAGCCGACCUGAGAGGGUGAUCGGCCACACUGGAACUGAGACACGGUCCAGACUCCUACGGGAGGCAGCAGUAGGGAAUCUUCCGCAAUGGGCGAAAGCCUGACGGAGCAACGCCGCGUGAGUGAUGAAGGUCUUCGGAUCGUAAAGCUCUGUUGUUAGGGAAGAACAAAUGUGUAAGUAACUGUGCAUAUCUUGACGGUACCUAACCAGAAAGCCACGGCUAACUACGUGCCAGCCGCCGCCGU